AUGGAGGGAGGGAGGGAGGAGCUAGGUAGCAACUGGACAAAGGAAAGCAUUGGGGCAUGGUGUGCAUUUUCGAGAGGGGCGUUGGACGGUGGUGGUGAGUGGGAUACAGAGGGGACUGUUUUUUGGCUCUUGUUCCUCUGGCCAUGUGGCGUGAGGGGUGCCAUACCAUACCCACAUCGCAUGCAGUGCAUGAUGAGGGAGAGGGGUAAAAAGGAGAGGAGGCAAGUUCAGAAAAGAGACUGUUCUUUCCUUUGGGGCUGGUUGGGGCUCAUGUGA
rnacentral:rRNA from 1 species